rnacentral:rRNA from 1 species
AUUGAACGCUGGCGGCAUGCUUUACACAUGCAAGUCGAACGGUAACAGGCCGCAAGGUGCUGACGAGUGGCGAACGGGUGAGUAAUGCAUCGGAACGUGCCCAGUCGUGGGGGAUAACGCAGCGAAAGCUGCGCUAAUACCGCAUACGAUCUAUGGGUGAAAGCGGGGGACCGUAAGGCCUCGCGCGAUUGGAGCGGCCGAUGUCAGAUUAGGUAGUUGGUGGGGUAAAGGCUCACCAAGCCAACGAUCUGUAGCUGGUCUGAGAGGACGACCAGCGACACUGGGACUGAGACACGGCCCAGACUCCUACGGGAGGCAGCAGUGGGGAAUUUUGGACAAUGGGCGCAAGCCUGAUCCAGCAAUGCCGCGUGCAGGAAGAAGGCCUUCGGGUUGUAAACCGCUUUUGUCAGGGAAGAAACGCUCUGGGUUAAUACCUCGGGGUAAUGACGGUACCUGAAGAAUAAGCACCGGCUAACUACGUGCCAGCCGCCGCCGUAAUAC